AGUAUUUGUAUGCUAUGCCUCUUGUUUGGAUUCUAGAAACAAUAGCUUCACUCCAUUGUAUAAAGUCAGCAGCUUGUUUCAUAAACAGAGAGGAACGUCGAGUUAUGAUUUUUAUCACUCCGAUAGUGUUCGAUAAUUUAUUAAUGUUUCUAACAUGCAGUCUUAUUCAUUCGAAGGAAACUAGUACUCGUGAUUAUUAUUGUUAUUAUUAUAGCUCCUUUCCUAUAUCUAUAUGUUACAUGAACUAGAAAAGCCGGCACUAAAAAAGAGAACCUUGAGGAGAUCCUUCCAUGGUAGUUGUUCUGAUGUCGUUGUAGUGCUUUUGUGGAUCUGUAUGGUUCACCUUGAGAUGGCUCUAGUGUUCUCACGACUAACUCAUGAAGAAGAAGACCGUGAAUCCGCAGGGAAAGCAGCGCACGAUGGAGGGACAGAUUGUGGGGAACAAUUUUCCGUUGGAAUGAAAGGUGCAGAGUUUUGCAUUGGCAUUAGUCCAGGAUGGUUAAGAAACCUUAGCAUAUCUGCUGAAUCAUUAAUCCCAGGCAAGCCAGCUCCUAGAACAUGUGCAGGCAGAAACUGUUGUUCGCCCAUUUGCAUUCCCACACCCAUUGCUAGACCCAUCUGAGAGUAGUUCGGCCCCAAAGGCAUCAUCAUUGAUGGUGUAACAAAUCUGUUACCCAUCGUCAUCAUCUACCAUCCAACAUUUAUACAGGAACUUGUGGCCUCGCAUCAUCUGACUCGUCAUCUAGACUCUGCGUUGAGACAAAACCUGUCUUCAGACAAGAACCUAACAAGAUAGACCAAACCAAAAAAAUUGUGAAUCAAUCCCUCUUACACUGCUUAGAUACAUCGAUCCUUCACUGUCUUCAGUGAAACCUACGGAGGAAGUGUCAAAGCCCAAUUUGAACGACCUAUCAGCAACCACGGAUUGCUCAUCAGGAGCAACAUGACUUUGUGGAACAACCUGCGUGUCCCCGAGAUUUGUGAUGGCACCACCACCACCAUGGAUGAUACUCUUCAUGAAAUCCUCGUUAUACUCUGCCUCAUACAAAUCCAUGAUCGAUUUGGUACGUUGAUUAUGCAGAGAAACGUUGGAUCUUUGGCCCUUUGCAAGAAUCUGGCCAUUCUCAAACACAAGCUCCAUAUACUCUUGAUCGCUUAACCUGCAACAAUAAUCGGUUGGUAAGAACAUCAUCGUCUGCACACAAACACACACAUAUAUAUAUAUAUAUAUAUAUAUAUAUAUAUAUGUGUGUGAAACAGGGAAACAAGAUUGAAGAACUUAAUUUGGUCUGAAGGUGGAUGAUGGGGAAGUCAUAUUUUGUUGUCUUGUUGAAUGUUCCAAAAGUUAUUUCUUCAGUGGAAGUAAGUGAAAGCUAAUCUUUCUUUUGUUGAUCAACUUCAGACUCUUUUGCUCUUAUUUUAUAUUUCGCUUUUCUUUCCUUUUCAUUUUUUUGGUAUUAUUAUCUCUUUCACCUGUUUUUAAUUAUUUUUUCAGGUGCAAUGAAUUUCCUGUUGUACAGUACCACUGUUUAUAUAAGUCGAAUCUUAGCAUCUUUGAGAUUUUUUUUUUGAUACUUUAUUGUGCCUUUAUAAAUUAUAAAAAGAUUAUUUAA
rnacentral:lncRNA from 1 species